rnacentral:rRNA from 1 species
GACGAACGCUGGCGGCGUGCUUAACACAUGCAAGUCGAACGGAAAGGCCCUGCUUUUGUGGGGUGCUCGAGUGGCGAACGGGUGAGUAACACGUGAGUAACCUGCCCAUGACUGUGGGAUAACUUCAGGAAACUGGGGCUAAUACCGGAUAGGAGCUCCUGCUGCAUGGUGGGGGUUGGAAAGUUUCGGCGGUUGGGGAUGGACUCGCGGCUUAUCAGCUUGUUGUUGGGGUAGUGGCUUACCAAGGCUUUGACGGGUAGCCGGCCUGAGAGGGUGACCGGCCACAUUGGGACUGAGAUACGGCCCAGACUCCUACGGGAGGCAGCAGUGGGGAAUAUUGCACAAUGGGCGGAAGCCUGAUGCAGCAACGCCGCGUGCGGGAUGACGGCCUUCGGGUUGUAAACCGCUUUCGCCUGUGACGAAGCGUGAGUGACGGUAAUGGGUAAAGAAGCACCGGCUAACUACGUG